GCUUGUCUCAAAGAUUAAGCCAUGCAUGUCUAAGAAUAAGCCCUAGAAUGGUGAAUCUGCGAAUGGCUCAUUAAAUCAGUUAUUGUUUAUUUGAUGGUACCUUACUACUUGGAUAACUGAGGUAAUUCUUGAGCUAAUACAUGCGAAAAAUCUCGACUCACGGAGAGAUGCUUUUAUUAGAUCAAAACCAAACGGCUUCGGCCGUCUCAUUGGUGACUCUGAAUAACUUUGGGCUGAUCGUAUGGCCUUGUGCCGACGACGUUUCCUUCGAAGGUGUGCCCUAUCAACUGUCGACUGUGAUAUAGACGCUCACAGUGGUUUUGACGGGUAACGGGGAAUCAGGGUUCGAUUCCGGAGAGGGAGCCUUAAAAACGGCUACCACAUCCAAGGAAGGCAGCAGG
rnacentral:rRNA from 1 species